rnacentral:lncRNA from 1 species
GCUAUAGCUAAAGAUUUAGGCAAUCUCUAGAAACUCUCAUGAACUAAUUAAGAUAUCUAUGCAUGGCCAUUAAUAUGCAAAUUUGCGAUAUGAGUUUCUAUAUUAUAUAUGUAAUAGUAGAAAUCUGAGUUAAAAAAAUAUAGUUCAAGAUUUGAUUCACUUCAUUUUUUUGAGAUUGAUACUAUUAAUAUCAAGUAAAAUUAAGUCAUGAAAGA